rnacentral:rRNA from 1 species
AACCCGAAGUGUUCUUUCUGUGGGGAGAAUGAGACUUCCCAGCAUCUCUUCUUUGCCUGCCCUGUAGCUAAGGUGACUUGGAGAAGUGUUGCCUGCAUGCUCGGCACUGAUCUGUGCCCGAACAGCCUGUGGCAGGCUUACUCUUGGUGUUAUGUUUACUUCCCAAAUGGGGAGAUUUUCUACACAGUUGGCAUUUCUGCGCUUUGCUGGGCUAUUUGGACAUGUCGCAAUGGUGUUACGUUCGAGUCUAAACGUUUGAAAACACCUUUUGAAUGUUGCUUCUCCAUGUGUGCUUUCGUUGGUUAUUGGGCAGGACUGCUAAAGCAAGAGGAUGUGGCUGAUCUGUGA